UUCAAUUUCAAGGAAAAUUCAACCAAAAUAUCAACAUAUAUAUAAGACCUGUAGCAAGUGGCAUACACCAAAGCACGGCCAGUUGUCGCGGCAGUGAGAAGUCCCAGCAACACCGAUAAGUGUCUGAAAGCCAUCUGUGGGCAUCUUGAGUACUCCAUCAUACCAAGGAUACACCA